GCUGGAUGAGUCAGUGCUGGAACUGACAAGCCAGAUUCUGGGAGCCAACCCUGAUUUUGCCACCCUCUGGAACUGCCGACGAGAGGUGCUCCAGCAGCUGGAGACUCAGAAGUCUCCUGAAGAGUUGGCUGCUCUGGUGAAGGCAGAACUGGGCUUCCUGGAGAGCUGCCUGCGGGUGAACCCCAAGUCUUAUGGUACCUGGCACCACCGAUGCUGGCUGCUAGGCCGCCUACCUGAGCCCAACUGGACCCGAGAGCUGGAGCUCUGUGCCCGUUUCCUGGAGGUGGAUGAGCGGAACUUUCACUGCUGGGACUAUCGGCGGUUUGUGGCCACACAGGCAGCCGUGCCCCCUGCAGAAGAGCUAGCCUUCACUGACAGCCUCAUCACCCGAAACUUCUCCAACUACUCGUCCUGGCAUUACCGCUCCUGUCUCUUGCCCCAGCUGCACCCCCAGCCGGAUUCUGGACCACAGGGGCGCCUCCCUGAGGAUGUGCUGCUCAAAGGUAAGCAGGGUCAGGGAUGCUCAGGAGGACUCUGCAGUGCCACCCUUCCAGCCCCCAUGCCUGACCCUGUUCCUGAACCUGUCACUCAGGUUUAUUGAGCACCUACUUCAUGCCUGGCUCCAGGGGUGCUUAAGAAUCAGUCCCU
rnacentral:sRNA from 1 species